GGCUGGACUAUCGUUUGUUGUGCUUAAGUACAUCAUUUUAGUUAUUAUCUAUUGUAUUUAUUAAAUAUAUAGUCUUUAUUUAUUUCUCAUCUUAAGUUAUUAUAUAGUAUUAUUACUUGUUGUGCUUCUGUCUACAACGUAGUUCUUAGUUGUGACACGGGUGUUGUAAAUAGUGGAAAUUAUGAUCUCAUCUAUCGCCAUACCGGUCGUCGUGUUGUCAAUAUUAUACACAAAAACAUGGUCAUUCAACCUUCACUCCAGCAAAAUAUAUUAUACCAAUUCACGUUUAGACGAUAAAAAUUACGAUAUUAAAAAUACAACAGAUGAAACAGCGAAAGUGAGAGAUAUUUCAUACUCGGAUUCUUUGACACCUAAUAUUUUAAGUCGUAUUGACCUAAAUAAAGAUUCUAAUAGAGGAGCAAGAAUUGAUAAAGAAGGUAUAUUGAAUGAAAUAGAAAGGUUUUAUAAUAGCAAAAUAAACACACAUAAACCUUUAAAUAGAGCUGGAAUAGAAAAUAAAAAGACAGCGGAUGAAGUAACAACGAAAGCAGGAUUAAAAGUGGAUACGGCAAAAAAAAGUUUGAUUGAAGACGUCACAUCAACACUCAAAACAGAUUAUAAAAUUUCAAAUUGGAAACGCCGUGUUAAAAGAGACGAUGAUGAGGAUGAUGAUGAAGAAGAAGAAGCUAUAGUGAUUUGGGAUAACUGUCCAGGAAAGUUACAGUACGCGAUAAUUGACGGAGAGCUGAAAUGUGUUGAUCCGAGUAAAAGUAUGGGUUUGUCAGACAGAAUAACGGAGUCUUUAGGAAAAUGUCCUAAAGGUACAAGAAGAAUUAUUUUGCCGGAUCGUACUAAAAUGUGCUUGAGGAAACGGUC